AGCCUGAUCCAGCCAUGCCGCGUGCGUGAAGAAGGCCUUCGGGUUGUAAACCGCUUUUGUCCGGGAAGAAAUCGCCUGGGCUAAUACCUCGGGAGGAUGACGGUACCGGAAGAAUAAGCACCGGCUAACUACGUGCCAGCAGCCGCGGUAAUACGUAGGGUGCAAGCGUUAAUCGGAAUUACUGGGCGUAAAGCGUGCGCAGGCGGUUAUGUAAGACAGAUGUGAAAUCCCCGGGCUCAACCUGGGAACUGCCUUUGUGACUGCAAAGCUUGAGUGCGGCAGAGGGGGAUGGAAUUCCACGUGUAGCAGUGAAAUGCGUAGAUAUGCGGAGGAACACCGAUGGCGAAGGCAAUCCCCUGGGCCUGUACUGACGCUCAUGCACGAAAGCGUGGGUAGCAAACAGGAUUAGAUACCCUGGUAGUCCACGCCCUAAACGAUGUCAACUGGUUGUUGGGUGGGUACCGUCUCAGUAACGAAGCUCACGCGUGAAGUUGACAGCC
rnacentral:rRNA from 1 species